AUAUACAGUAUAUGUGAUGUACUACUAUACUAAAUUGUAUACAUAUUUUUAAAACUUGGACCUGCAAAUUGUAGUGGAGACAAUUGCGUAUAUGGUUGACCUACUUUCAACAAGACCUUAGCAGAUAGAAAUGUCUGAGGACUGCAGCACUAGUGUCAUACCAUCAAAAUGUUGCUUUUUUUUGGCCCCACAGUUGUAGUCCAACAACUCAGACAACUUCUAAUCCAGUGUUCCUUCAUUUAGGCCUGGUGAAACAGCGACCCCCAUUGUUUACCUUCAUGUGUGCGCCAGUGGAAAUAGAAUGCACAUAUCCAUUGAAGAUGCCUGGAAAAGUCCACAUCAUAUCCCUGCACUCACACACACACUGAAAUGGGGGAAGUCUGGUCCGCUCUGGUCACUUCCUCUUGCUGUACGGAGACCAGUCAGCCAGCCUGGUCCUGAGAUGGGAGUCCAUUGAGGAGCUAUACCUGUCUGCUAAUGUGUUCCUGGAGAGGGGUGCCAUGUUUCACUAUGAUGAGCCCCUGGGCCUGCCCGAUAUCCCCUGCUUCACCUUCUGCUCCCGAAAGAAAGACCGCAGAUCAGGGCUGGGAUUCAAUCAAACCCAGUAGCUACCAAAAAAAAACAAUGGCUUAAAUACAGAAAUGCUGUUUUGUUUGAAUUGAGCCCCAUGUCAAGAAGAAAAGCACCCUUAAAAAGUACAUAUUAAGUAUUUAUCUUGCAUUAACUGCAGUUCACGUUACAGGGCGGGAAAGUGUUUGCUAUGCUGUUAAAUGCAUUGAUAGGAUAGAUAGACAGGACGCAUUAGCAGGAUGCACUGUAGCACAAUGGUGUGCAGAAGGGAAUUAUACGUUUUAUAGAUUCAUAUAAAGGUUUGGUUCACUUGGAUGUAUUUCUUAAACUUUAAAAAUAGGGUGUAUUUAUUUGCAGAACUGAUUGUUUAUGAAAAAACAUUUAAAUUGAAUCUGGACUACCUACCAUGGGUGAGCUUGUGUGCAUCUGUGAAAAUGUUGCUCUUAUAUUUGUGAAGUACCUAUUUGGACACAUUCCUGUGAAGUGCAUAUUAUAACCUCAUUCUUCCUCUGCUCCCCUCUCCAGAGAUGACUUGAUGUGCAUGCUGUUGUGGUGAACCAAAAUGCCUACCUCAUUGCCUGCUUCAAUCUCACUUUAAUAACAAAAAUACGCCAAGGAGAAGGUUUAAUGUGAAUUAGAUUACGUAGGGAGGAGAGGAAUAAAUACACUGUGACAACACCAUUAUGUACAGUUUUUGGAUAGUGUGUGUAAAUGUUACUGACAUACUGUAACAUACUGAAAUUACUCAACACUAAAGAUGAGUAAUUUCAUAAUUGUAUAUAUUUUAUAAUUUCAGUUUGUGACAAAACAAGCAAUAUAGAGAAUCAUUGUACCAUCUAAACCACUGAAAUAUCAUUUCAAUUUGCAAAAAUAUUGUAUUUUCAGCUGUUUGAAGCUGGUGUACAAAACCCAAAGUAAAAAAUGCAAAGGAAACUUAAGAACAGAAAGCAUAGAAAUAAUGCAUAUAGACUUGCUUUCAAUGAGAAUGACAGAUCUAUAACUAACAUUUCUAUGUGAAUUUGGUCAGUCACCUCAAAAAUUACAUAUUGCAGUUUUAAGCCUAGUCCUGGAUUUACAACCCCUUUGAAUUAAGAAUCUCCCAUAAAAAUGCUUCUUCUUAGUCUAGGACUAGGUUUAAUCUGUGUCCGGCAAACUGGCCCAUAGUGAACACAAGAUGAAACUCUUGAUUCAAAUAGACCUGCACCGUCAUUCAAAUAGCAUGCAUUAGAGAUCCAUGAUUUGUGAAGGUGCACAAUGUCUGUCCAAUUACAAUUUGUUAAUGUAUAAAUCCUGUAUUAAAUUAGUUCUUUGCCAUUUGUUCUGAAUGUCAGGUUCUCUGAUUAUGUUAAUUGAUACAGAUUUCAACAUACAGUAGAACAAGUUACGUUUCUAAAAGUUCUGACUACUGGUGAUUUCAAAAUGACAACUCUCUCUUAAAAUAAAAGCUUCAAAGGCAAAAAAGUCCUCUGCCCGAAAUAUACUCUGAUUAUGCAAUCCCCUACAGAAGGGUAGUAAGCAUACAUCAGCAGUUUCCCAUUUCGCCCACUAGAGGUCCUACUCUUUUCAAUGUGAGAGUAGAGAAAUGCACAACGUUCAAUGCCAAAUGUGAGAAGUUCCUUGGUUUUAUUGUUGACAUAAUAAUGUUGUGACUCUCUUUUCACGCCACUUCGAUACAUCUAUGACCGGAAGUGAUUUUUCCUAACCCUUUUUCUAACCUUAACCGGGGUAGGCCGUCAUUGUAAAUAAGAAGUUGUUCUUAACUGACUUGCCUAGUUAAAUAAAGGUUAAAGAAAAAUAAAAUAAAUUCUCCUAACCUGCUAAAUUAAUUAUCCUAACUUGCUACGUUAAUCCUCCUAACCUGCCAUGCUAAAGAAACUUCCCGUCAUAGCUGUACAAAGUGGUGUGAAAAGAGUGUUUCUCAACAAUGUGUGAACCCGUUACCGUAUCCUGUUUAAAUCCAUGUCACUGUUUUGUUAGUCAUUAGUAAAGCUGCCCUGUGGUCGAAUUGAACACGGAUACUAUUUUAGCUGGAUGUUGAUAUGUUGUCGCUUUUGUUGAUUGCAUAUGUGAAUUUGGAUACAUUGUUAUAGGCUAUAUAUUAUUCGGGGUGGCAGGUAGCCUAGUGGUUAGAGCGUUGGACUAGUAACCGAAAGGUUGCAAAAUCGAAUCCCCGAGCUGACAAGAUAAAAAUCUGUCGUUCUGCCCCUGAACAAGGCAGUUAACCCACUGUUCCUAGGCCGUCAUUGAAAAUAAGAAUUUGUUCUUAACUGACUUGCCUGGUAAAAUAAAUGAUUGUUUCCAUAUAUUUCACUUUUUAUUGUCUUUACAGACAAUUUUUGUCUCUCAAAAAGUGAAAUAUAUGGGUACAAUCAUUUAUUUUACCAGGCAAGUCAGUUAAGAACAAAUGUGUGGACAUUCCAAGCAGAAUAUGCUUAUUUUUGGCUUAAGGGUAACUUUUUCAGAAGGAUUGAGUCUGUUUUCAGCACGAGUCACCGAUAUUGAUACUGCUAAAAGUAUUUCCUGUUGCCAUAGAUUAAAGAGGUUCACGCCAAAAUGUAAGGUCUUCAGUAGAUCAGUUUCAUAAUUAUAAAAAAAUAAAUGCAUUGAGGCUGGCUUUGAAAACUGAA